UACGUAGGGGGCAAGCGUUGUCCGGAAUCAUUGGGCGUAAAGAGCGUGUAGGCGGCCCGAUAAGUCCGCCGUGAAAGUCCAGGGCUCAACCCUGGAAUGCCGGUGGAAACUGUCGGGCUAGAGUCCGGAAGAGGCGAGUGGAAUUCCCGGUGUAGCGGUGAAAUGCGCAGAUAUCGGGAGGAACACCAGUGGCGAAGGCGACUACCUGGCCUGUUCUUGACGCUGAGGCGCGAAAGCUAGGGGAGCAAACGGG
rnacentral:rRNA from 1 species